rnacentral:rRNA from 1 species
UACGAAGGGGGCUAGCGUUGCUCGGAAUCACUGGGCGUAAAGGGUGCGUAGGCGGGUCUUUACGUCAGGGGUGAAAUCCUGGAGCUCAACUCCAGAACUGCCUUUGAUACUGAGGAUCUUGAGUUCGGGAGAGGUGAGUGGAACUGCGAGUGUAGAGGUGAAAUUCGUAGAUAUUCGCAAGAACACCAGUGGCGAAGGCGGCUCACUGGCCCGAUACUGACGCUGAGGCACGAAAGCGUGGGGAGCAAACAGG